AUUGAACGCUGGCGGCAGGCCUAACACAUGCAAGUCGAACGGUAACAGGAAGCAGCUUGCUGCUUCGCUGACGAGUGGCGGGCGGGUGAGUAAUGUCUGGGAAGCUGCCUGAUGGAGGGGGAUAACUACUGGAAACGGUAGCUAAUACCGCAUAAUGUCGCAAGACCAAAGAGGGGGACCUUCGGGCCUCUUGCCAUCGGAUGUGCCCAGAUGGGAUUAGCUUGUUGGUGGGGUAACGGCUCACCAAGGCGACGAUCCCUAGCUGGUCUGAGAGGAUGACCAGCCACACUGGAACUGAGACACGGUCCAGACUCCUACGGGAGGCAGCAGUGGGGAAUAUUGCACAAUGGGCGCAAGCCUGAUGCAGCCAUGCCGCGUGUAUGAAGAAGGCCUUCGGGUUGUAAAGUACUUUCAGCGGGGAGGAAGGGAGUAAAGUUAAUACCUUUGCUCAUUGACGUUACCCGCAGAAGAAGCACCGGCUAACUACGUG
rnacentral:rRNA from 1 species